AAGUGGGCAGCCGAUGGAAGAUUGGCCGAUGCUGGGCAGAAGGAGGAAGGUAGAAGAUGAUUUGGUGACUUGGCAUCGCAGCCAAUAGAGCAGGAUUUGCGCUGAUUGAUUAUGUCAGCAAGUUAUCUUGUCAAGUCCGAGUUUAGUUUGAGUCAAUUAUUUAGGAAAGUUUUCUUUUCUUUUUGAUCAAGUUAUGUAAGUCGUAAUCGACAAGGAGUUCUAGGUUAGGCUAUAAAUAGCAGACCUGCGGGUUUUGUAAAACAACCAACGUUCAAUCAAACAAACCUUUUACAUCAUUUGCAUCUGCUUUUCUUUCUCGACGACUUUGUCAAACCCUAAUUGCAGUAGCUUUUCUCUUUUAUGAGUUCUUCUCUCUAGCAGGGCUGCAUCGGCUUCGAUCACCAGCUCGUCGGUCAAAUUGACUAGCACGCCAAGCACCUUCACGCAGCUAUUUGGAGCCUGUAUGUCGGAGUAAAGCAGAUCUCCCAGGUCCUCGUGUGGGGCCACAUGGAAGUCCGAUCAUCAGAUUUUUUGCGUCAACAAUAUCAAGAACAACAACAAAACUACAACU